rnacentral:lncRNA from 1 species
GUGGUGGGAGUGAGACUUUAGGAGGUCUUUCCCAACCUAAAUGAUUCUAUGCUUCUAAAAUGCUAUUUGUGUUAGCUGCAGCAUUGGUAGGCUUUGUAGUAAGCUAUUCUAUUUAGGAAAGUUAGCAGCUGAAGUAAUGAAAAAUUUCUACUUCUGAAUAUGUUCAAAAAUUCUCAUCAGGUUUUAAGAAUAUCUGGAAAAGAACAACAGGUUUCAGAAUGAAGCAUUUCUAAAUCAUUAAUAUAAUUUGGGUCUGUAUCUUAAUUGUUUGUGUCUCAUAUGCAUCUGUUUAUUUAUCCAAAAAAAAUUAGUGUACAGUGCUAUUUCUUUGAGAUCUGAUAGCUUGUAUCAGAUUCAUUUGUCCUUAACUCUAAUUGCAAUAAACCUUCAGAGAAAUCUAUCAAACAUACCUCACUUCUUACAGAAAUCAUAGGAUCUAAAGAAUCAAACAAACUAUACAUUUAAAAACAAUAAAAAAAGAUUUUCUAAACUCAUGUUUCAGAUAUUAAACAGGCUGCUUUUUUUUCAAGUGCUUAGGUGACAGAGAACCCUGAGAUAACAGCCACUAGACUGAAAUGUAUGGAGGCUGUGAGCAGAUGAUUUUCAGAGCAUCAUCCUUUGAUUACAGAACUCAAGCCUAAGGUCGUUUCAUCACAAUGCUGUAGACAAGCUCAAAGUCAGGGAUUUUACUGUAAGCACACUUUCCAACACCACCUUUCUGGGAUUUACCACUUUAAUUAGCAGAAGGCUGAGUUCAUAAGAAGACAUGAAGUAAGCUGGUGCUCUUUUGAAUUGGCUCCUCGACUUCAUGCAGCUGGUGCUCUCUGGUCACAUAAGAAAUAUGAAUUCCUGAAUCCACUCAUAACACCUGGAAAGAAUGAUGGAGGAAGGAGAACUAUGUCAGAUCUAAUAACAACAACAACAAAAAAAACAGGGCUGCCUGGUAUGUAAAAUUAUUACCCCAAAAUAAUGCCACCUGGAAAGCCUACCUCUUAUGGUUUCACUUGCUGCUAACUUUAUUUUGCAAACCUUACAGCAAAUAGUCACUUAGGAAAAUAAUUUUUGAUAACCUUCGGACUUAGACAUAACAGAAGUUAUCCCAUAGCCUGAAAUGGAAAAUAUUGUUUGAAGAAGUAUCUAUACUGCUCCCAAAUAUUGAUUCCCAGUGGGCUGGGCUGGGUAGCGAGGUGAUUAGUAUGCCCAAACUCAUUUUGAAAGGAAUCUAACUGACUGUGUGACUCAAAGGCUUAGCUUGUAGGAGAAAAGGGUAAGUGAAAAUGACUUCUUUUUUUCUAAGAUGAUUCAAACACAGAUUGUCUGCUUGCG